CCUACGGGGGGCAGCAGUCGAGAAUCAUUCACAAUGGGGGAAACCCUGAUGGUGCGACGCCGCGUGGGGGAAUGAAGGUCUCCGGAUUGUAAACCCCUGUCAUGUGGGAGCAAAUUAAAAAGAUAGUACCACAAGAGGAAGAGACGGCUAACUCUGUGCCAGCAGCCGCGGGAAUACAGAGGUCUCAAGCGUUGUUCGGAAUCACUGGGCGUAAAGCGUGCGUAGGCGGUUUCGUAAGUCGUGUGUGAAAGGCGCGGGCUCAACCCGCGGACGGAACAUGAUACUGCGAGACUAGAGUAAUGGAGGGGGAACCGGAAUUCUCGGUGUAGCAGUGAAAUGCGUAGAUAUCGAGAGGAACACUCGUGGCGAAGGCGGGUUCCUGGACAUUAACUGACGCUGAGGCACGAAGGCCAGGGGAGCGAAAGGGAUUAGAUACCCCAGUAGUC
rnacentral:rRNA from 1 species